rnacentral:rRNA from 1 species
UACGUAGGGUGCAAGCGUUGUCCGGAAUUAUUGGGCGUAAAGAGCUCGUAGGCGGUCUGUUACGUCGGCUGUGAAAACCUGGGGCUCAACCCCGGGCCUGCAGCCGAUACGGGCAGACUAGAAUUCGGUAGGGGAGACUGGAAUUCCUGGUGUAGCGGUGAAAUGCGCAGAUAUCGGGAAGAACACCCGUGGCGAAGGCGGCACUCUGGGACGGUACUGACGCUGAGACGCGAAAGCGUGGGGAGCGAACAGG